AAAGGAAUUAGAGUCGUGGCCUUCUUCAAGAAGAGAACACAACAUCGAAUAUAGCAAAUUGGCAAUAAAUGCAAAGAGCAAAGCGGAGGUGUAACAUACUCUCAGCAAUCUAAAUGGCAGACAGCUGCAAUUUGCAUCAGUUGGAGAUUCCAAGUAGCAUUCAAGACUGCAAGCAGAGCGCACUGAAUUAGUAUCUCAUGGAGAUAACAAAGGAGUGUGGCGAUAUCGCCAUCUGAGAGACUGCAGAACCUAUUUCCAUUGAUUCACAAUAUUGAAACAAUAGGAUUUGCAGGAAAGGAAACCAUGGUAACCAACUAAACCUACUGCAGCAGAUAUCAGCGCAAAAGAACA